GCCUCGGUAGCUUAAAUUAAAGCAUCGGUCUUGUAAACCGAAGACUGUGGCUUAACCACCACUCGAAGCU
rnacentral:tRNA from 1 species